rnacentral:rRNA from 1 species
UACGAAGGGGGCUAGCGUUGUUCGGAUUUACUGGGCGUAAAGCGCACGUAGGCGGGUCGUUAAGUCAGGGGUGAAAUCCCGGAGCUCAACUCCGGAACUGCCUUUGAUACUGGCGACCUUGAGGCUGGAAGAGGUUAGUGGAAUUCCCAGUGUAGAGGUGAAAUUCGUAGAUAUUGGGAAGAACACCAGUGGCGAAGGCGGCUAACUGGUCCAGAUCUGACGCUGAGGUGCGAAAGCGUGGGGAGCAAGCAGG